GGGCCCGCACAAGCGGUGGAGUAUGUGGUUUAAUUCGAUGCAACGCGAAGAACCUUACCAGGGUUUGACAUCCUGCGAAUCUCUUGGAAACGAGAGAGUGCCUUCGGGAACGCAGUGACAGGUGGUGCAUGGCUGUCGUCAGCUCGUGUCGUGAGAUGUUGGGUUAAGUCCCGCAACGAGCGCAACCCUUAUCCUAUGUUGCCAGCAUUUAGUUGGGGACUCGUAGGAGACUGCCGGGGUCAACUCGGAGGAAGGUGGGGAUGACGUCAAGUCAGCAUGCCCCUUACGCCCUGGGCUACACACGUACUACAAUGGCCGAGACAAAGAGUCGCAAGUUUGCAAAGACAAGCU
rnacentral:rRNA from 1 species